CAGGUCUUGACAUCCCACUGACCGGUGUAGAGAUACAUCUUUCCCUUCGGGGACAGUGGUGACAGGUGGUGCAUGGUUGUCGUCAGCUCGUGUCGUGAGAUGUUGGGUUAAGUCCCGCAACGAGCGCAACCCUUGAUCUUAGUUGCCAGCAUUUAGUUGGGCACUCUAAGGUGACUGCCGGUGACAAACCGGAGGAAGGUGGGGAUGACGUCAAAUCAUCAUGCCCCUUAUGACCUGGGCUACACACGUGCUACAAUGGAUGAUACAGAGGGUUGCCAACCCGCGAGGGGGAGCCAAUCCCAUAAAAUCAUUCCCAGUUCGGAUUGGAGGCUGCAACUCGCCUCCAUGAAGCCGGAAUCGCUAGUAAUCGUGGAUCAGCAUGCCACGGUGAAUACGUUCCC
rnacentral:rRNA from 1 species